rfam:Ictidomys tridecemlineatus contig000465, whole genome shotgun sequence.
GGAGUUGUAGCUUAAUGGUAGAGCACUUGCCUCUCAAGUGUGAGGCACUGGGUUCGAUCCUAGCAUCACAU